AAAGCGAGCGGCGGAUGGGUGAGUAACACGUGGGGAACCUGCCCCAUAGUCUGGGUAUACCACUUGGAAACAGGUGCUAAUACCGGAUAAGAAAGCAGAUCGCAUGAUCAGCUUUUAAAAGGCGGCGUAAGCUGUCGCUAUGGGAUGGCCCCGCGGUGCAUUAGCUAGUUGGUAAGGUAAAGGCUUACCAAGGCGAUGAUGCAUAGCCGAGUUGAGAGACUGAUCGACCACAUUGGGACUGAGACACGGCCCAAACUCCUACGGGAGGCAGCAGUAGGGAAUCUUCCACAAUGGACGCAAGUCUGAUGGAGCAACGCCGCGUGAGUGAAGAAGGUUUUCGGAUCGUAAAGCUCUGUUGUUGGUGAAGAAGGAUAGAGGUAGUAACUGGCCUUUAUUUGACGGUAAUCAACCAGAAAGUCACGGCUAACUACGUGCCAGCAGCCGCGGUAAUACGUAGGUGGCAAGCGUUGUCCGGAUUUAUUGGGCGUAAAGCGAGCGCAGGCGGAAGAAUAAGUCUGAUGUGAAAGCCCUCGGCUUAACCGAGGAACUGCAUCGGAAACUGUUUUUCUUGAGUGCAGAAGAGGAGAGUGGAACUCCAUGUGUAGCGGUGGAAUGCGUAGAUAUAUGGAAGAACACCAGUGGCGAAGGCGGCUCUCUGGUCUGCAACUGACGCUGAGGCUCGAAAGCAUGGGUAGCGAACAGGAUUAGAUACCCUGGUAGUCCAUGCCGUAAACGAUGAGUGCUAAGUGUUGGGAGGUUUCCGCCUCUCAGUGCUGCAGCUAACGCAUUAAGCACUCCGCCUGGGGGAGUACGACCGCAAGG
rnacentral:rRNA from 1 species